rnacentral:rRNA from 1 species
UGAAUCUGCGAAUGGCUCAUUACAUCAGUCAUUGUUUAUUUGAUGGUACCUUACUACUUGGAUAACCGUAGUAAUUCUAGAGCUAAUACAUGCGUCAGCCCUGACUUUCGUGGAAAGGGUGCAUUUAUUAGAUUCAAACCAUCGGCUUCACGGCCUUUGAUGGUGAGUCAUAAUAACUCAGCGAAUCGGAUGUGCUUUAUGCCGCCGAUACAUCAUUCAAAUUUCUGCCCUAUCAGCUUUCGAUGGUAGGAUCUUGGCCUACCAUGGCUAUCACGGGUAACGGGGAAUUAGGGUUCGAUUCCGGAGAGGGAGCUUGAGAAACGGCUACCACAUCCAAGGAUGGCAGCAGGCGCGCAAAUUACCCAAUCCCGACACGGGGAGGUAGUGACGAUAAAUAGCG